rnacentral:rRNA from 1 species
ACGCUGAAAGCAUCUAAGUGUGAAACUCGCCUCGAGAUGAGAUUUCCCAUUUCCUUCGGGAAAGUAAGACCCCUCAGAGAUGAUGAGGUAGAUAGGAUGGAAGUGGAAGUGCCGUGAGGCAUGGAGCAGACCAUUACUAAUCGGUCGAGGACUUAACCAAG